rnacentral:lncRNA from 1 species
GGGUAUACUGGACGGCCUAUUAUAUGAGAUGCAGUUAAGUGCAUGAUCAUAUGUACGAAAUUAGUCAUUGUCACCUAAUUCAUGGUGUGAAUUUAAUAAUAUAUAGUCUAGGAGUUUCCUCUUUUUUGUGUGCUCCAUAAUAUAAAAUUGGUGGCUUGUUUACCGUUGAAAAAGAAACUAGUAGUAGCCAAAGUAAUAAAUUUCAUAACAGCUACAUCUAAAGUUAGCGAAGGGAUGUUAUACGGACAAGAAUUACAAACAUGAAACCUACAUUUACAUCCCUUCAAAGGGUUAGUUAGCACCAAGCAGAAGCACCUCCCAAAAUGACCCAAUAAAAACAAAAAUAAAAUGACAAAAUUAGGUUUUUCUUUUUCCCCACCUUGUCGAUAUCUGGUCAAGUUCCUCAUCGAUUCAUUUCACCGUUAUGUAACAAAAUUAAUUUGCUAUUCAGACUAAUUUAGGCUGCUGGAGCAUAGUCAUAAUCAUCAUCAUCAUCAUCGCCUUCAAGUGAUGCUGCUGGAGCAUAGUCAUAAUCAUCAUCAUCAUCGUCGCCUUCUAGUGAUGCUGCUGGAGCAUAGUCAUAAUCUCCAUCGUCAUCAUCACCAUCUAAACAUGAUGCCGGUGCGUAGUAGUUUCUCUCAUCACCAUCAUUCUUUCCAUCUGAAUCAUUCCUUAACAACCAGCCUGUGAUUUUCUUGGAAGCUAGAGACAUUUUUCAACCUAGAUUCUAGAUUUUGUGAAAGAAGCNCAUUUUUCAACCUAGAUUCUAGAUUUUGUGAAAGAAGCACAGAAAUGUUUAUGAAAACUUGUUGCUUGAGCCGAUUUAGAAAAGUGUUGUGUUUGGAGUAAAUAUGAAUGAUCACAAACAUCAUCUCCAUAUUUAUUGACUAGGAAAAGGCAUUGAACUCAUUCCGGCGAAG